AGUAAUAGAGUUGCCUCCAUCAGAGAGGAUCGUGACCCAUUCCACAACCACAGAUGCCACAGAGAAGUCCUCAGCAGAGGAGUGUGUCACUCUAGAGCCGUGGAUAAGUCCCUCUCCCCUCAGGUUGAAGGACCUUCUUCCAGGCUGGGAAGUCCAAGAUGAAGGUGCCAGCAGCUUCUGUGUCUGGUAAGACCUUGGUCUCUGCUUCCAAGAUAAAACCUUGAAUGCUGUGUUCUCUGGAGGAGAUGAGUGCUGGGUCCUCACAUGGCAGAAGAAUAGAAGAUAAAAAACAGUCUCGUUAUUUUCUCAAGACUUUUUAUAAGGGAAUUAAUGCCUGAAGGCAGAGCCUUUAUGAUCUCUUAAAAACCCCAACUGUUAAUACUAGUGGGAUGAAGUUUCAAUAUGAAUUUGGGAGGGAACACAAAAACACUCAAACCAAGACAGUGAGUAUUCUAUCAGUGAAUUGUGAUACUUUUUAUGAUUCACCUCUUUACAUCAGGUGAAAAACACAGAAUUUUCAUAAUAUAUUUUUCAUUCAAUAGAUAUUUAUGCUAUGUCAAUUUAUUCGAGGGCUACUCAAAUAAGGAAAACCAGAUGUAAACUCUGGCUUCUGCAACUUUUACCCAGUAAAAAGAGACUGGCCUGUAGUUUUCAUUUGAUAUGCGUAGGUUACCAACACACAGGUAGAGUUUCAGUGACUCCAAAAGCUUUUGGAAGAGCAGUCACCAUCAUUCCCAUCUUAGUAAAUCCUCCUAGCAUAUUGGUGGGAUAUAUGGCCAGGAUCUACUAUCCACUGAUCCCCUACUUUGGGAACUCCAGGAAUCCUUAUGGUAGACAUGCGGCCAUGAUGGAUGGAAUGAUGUAUCCACUGCAAACUGAGCAUGCAGCUUUCUUGUCUAAAAUAAUAUCAUGUUUGAAAAGUUGUGGAUUUUAUGUUUUUUCUGAUCACAGUGUCACUUCCAAUGCACUAGGAAUAACUCACCAAAGGCUUAGCACACCUCUUGAUGUUUUUGAGCUAUAUGUGCUUUACAAAUACAAUGAUUACAACCUGAGGCUCUCAUAUUACUCACUGUUGUCUAUUAAAAUACAAUGGAUAGCAGAAUGUAAGAUUUCAACAUGUUUGUACUCUUUUUACCUGGUGUGGCAGUAGAAGCAAGGAAGGAUUCACAAUUUUAGUUUUGAUAUUCGGGGAAAAGUGAGGAUUCAGCAAAUAAUGUCUCAGCCAAAUUGACUUAAUUGCUUUUUUUUUCAGAUGCAGUGAUAUUCACAGUGAAGAAAUUAAAUGUCUUAUAAGAAAAUCAAUAUUAACAAGAUUUUUUUUUUAUUCAAAAGUGGGCUGGGGCCUUAUAUCCACAGCAAUAGAAGAGUCUUAUAUGAAUCUUAAAGAUCCCAGAUUGAGAUCCUGGCAUUUGCAGUCAGAUUGGCAUGAAUUUGAAUACCACCUCUCCUGUUUGCUUGGGACUAAGAAAAGCUGUUUCACCUCAUCUGCAAAAUGGAGAUGAUAAUGUCUAGCUUGUAGUCUGUUAUAGUUGUUCCUGAGGUGCAAAUAUAUUAGUUUGUGAGCAUAGUACCUGGCCUGACAUAUGUUCUCAUGGAAUGGGACUAAUUAAAGGUAGCCCAAACAUACAUCAUGGGAUCUACAAUCCCCUAAGAAUAGAGGCCCAAUUUUCCCCAUUAGCACAGAACAGACUCUGAAAUCAUCUGCCAUGGGAAACUUAGGAUAGAGAAACAAAUGGGAGAGGUAGAGUAGAGAGGAAAAGAACAGGUAACAUAGACAUUCUCUGAGUUCCUUGGCUUAGCCUGAGAGGCCUUUUCCCAUAACGUUGGUAUAAGAAACCCUGGCUAAUUAGACCAUCAGUACCCACAGAAGGGUCUGGGCUACAUCACAGUUCUCAUUUACAAGCUCACAGUCACCAAUCCCCGCUUAAGAUGUCAGUGUUGUUAAGUGGGUGUUCUGUGAAGAAACUCUCAAGCAAAUGAUGCUUUUAGGAGAAGCAAAAAGUUCUUUGAAUAAUCGGCCACUGUAAUAAGGAGGUGAGGGGGUGUUGCAAGUUGCUUGCAAAGUGACAAUAAAUACGAACUUUCCAAACCA